AUGGAAUGCCGUGCUUGGGAGCAGAGCACCCAUGCUUCUGCUAGGAGCUGGGGAGCACUCUUGGGGCUCAAGUGCCUGUGAGGACCCCUCAGUUUCCCCUCAGACUGAGGAGAUGGUGUCUGCAUCACACCCAGGCAGCAGGUUUGUCUUCAACUCAGCCAAUGAGCCACGGCACCCGUGUCAUUGGAAAGCACAUAAUCUACAGUUUGCUCUGCAGAGCCAGUUCCUCCCUUACCCUUCACUUUUCAAUAAACUUUGUCACCAUUUUUGCUUGUCUUGUUAAAUUCUUUGUU
rnacentral:lncRNA from 1 species